rnacentral:rRNA from 1 species
GAUGAACGCUGGCGGCGUGCCUAAUACAUGCAAGUCGAGCGAACGGACGAGACGCUUGCUUCUCUGAUGUUCGCGUCGCACGGGGGAGUAAAAUGUGGGUAACCUACCUAUAAGACUGGGAUAAAUUCGGGAAACCGGAGCUAAUACCGGCUAAUCUUUUGAACCGCAUGGUUCAAAAGUGAAAGACGGUCUUGCUGUCACUUAUAGAUGGAUCCGGGUUGGAUUAGCUAGUUGGUAAGGUAACGGCUUACCAAGGCAACGAUCCAUAGCCGACCUGAGAGGAUGAUCAGCCACACUGGAACUGAGACAAGGUCCAGACUCCUACGGGAGGCAGCAGUGGGGAAUAUUGCACAAUGGGCGAAAGCCUGAUGGAGCCAAGCCGCGUGUAUGAAGAAGGCCUUCGGGUUGUAAAAUACUUUUAGUGGGGAAGAAGGGAGUAAAGAUAAAACCUUUGCUCAUUGACGGUACCCGAUCAGAAAGCCACGGCUAACUACGUG